UACGUAGGGUGCUAGCGUUGUCCGGAUUUAUUGGGCGUAAAGGGCUCGUAGGCGGCGUGUCGCGUCGGGGAGUGAAAGCCCGCUGCUUAACGGCGGGUUGGCUUCCGGUACGGGCAUCGCUGGAGUGCGGCAGGGGGAGAUGGAAUUCCUGGUGUAGCGGUGGAAUGCGCAGAUAUCAGGAGGAACACCGGUGGCGAAGGCGGGUCUCUGGGCCGUUACUGACGCUGAGGAGCGAAAAGCGUGGGGGGAGCAAACGG
rnacentral:rRNA from 1 species